rnacentral:rRNA from 1 species
UACGUAGGGUGCAAGCGUUGUCCGGAAUUAUUGGGCGUAAAGAGCUCGUAGGCGGUUUGUCGCGUCUGGUGUGAAAAUCCAGGGCUUAACCCUGGACCUGCAUCGGGUACGAGCAGACUAGAGUGCGGUAGGGGAGAUCGGAAUUCCUGGUGUAGCGGUGAAAUGCGGCAGAAUAUCAGGAGGAACACCGGUGGCGAAGGCGGAUCUCUGGGCC